ACGGCCGUGCGAGGUUGCCUUCACCGGUUCUCGUUAGACCACUGUAGUUAAGCAACCUUGAGCGAGGUUAGUACUUGGAUGGGUGACCGCUUGGGAACAGUGCGUUGCUGU
rnacentral:rRNA from 1 species